rnacentral:rRNA from 1 species
CACGAACUGCGCAAACGUUAUUCGGAAUUACUGGGCUUAAAGAGUUCGUAGGCGGUCCCUCAAGUCGGGUGUGAAAUCCCUCGGCUCAACCGAGGAAUUGCGCCCGAUACUGUCGGACUCGAGGGAGACAGGGGUGAGCGGAACUGAUGGUGGAGCGGUGAAAUGCGUUGAUAUCAUCAGGAACACCGGUGGCGAAGGCGGCUCACUGGGUCUUCUCUGACGCUGAGGAACGAAAGCUAGGGGAGCGAACGGG